GAAGCCAUGCUCAGUGCGAAAGGAAGUUGGAUUCCUGAGACAGCCAGGAUGUUGGCUUAGAAGCAGCCACCAUUUAAAAAGUGCGUAAUAGCUUACUGGUCAAGGAGUCCUGCGCCGAUAAUGAACGGGACUAAGCAUGGCACCGAAGCGGCGGGUAUCCGUAAGGGUACGGUAGGAGAGCGUUGCACUGUAGGUUGAAGGUGGACGGAUAACGACCACUGGACGACGUGCAAGUGAUUAUGCCGGAACGAGUAACGAUAAAACGGGUGAGAAUCCCGUUCGCCGUAAGCCUAAGGUUUCCUGGGGAAGGUAAAUCCGCCCAGGGUUAGUCGGAUCCUUAGUCGAGGCCGAUAGGCGUAGACGAUGGACAGCAGGUUAAUAUUCCUGCACCGCCUCUGGCGGUCGAUGGCACCAGGACGUUGAAUGAAAUGGGUACGCCCGGUUAGAAAUGGGCGGUCCGUAAGGACGAGGCCAUAUACGAUGCCGAAGUCCCAGGCAGUUCAACCAAGAAAAGCCGGUGCCGGACAAGAGAGGCGCCCGUACUAAAACUGACACAGGUAGGCGAGAUGAAUAUUCUAAGGCGCUCGAGAGAACGCUCGUGAAGGAACUCUGCAAAUUGACCCCGUAACUUCGGGAAAAGGGGUGCUCUCUUCCCACGGGAAUGUAGAGCCGCAGCGAAAAGGUUCUAGCGACUGUUUACUAAAAACACAGGUCUGUGCUAAGGCGCAAGCCGCUGUAUACAGACUGACGCCUGCCCGGUGCUGGUAAGUUAAGGGAGAGGGUUAGCCCGUAAGGGUGAAGCUCGCAACCGAAGCUCCAGUAAACGGCGGCCGUAACUAUGACGGUCCUAAGGUAGCGAAGUUCCUUGUCGGGUAAGUUCCGACCUGCAUGAAUGGCGUAACGACUGGAGCACUGUCUCAACCACCACCCCGGUGAAAUUGACGUAGUGGUGAAGAUGCCACUUUCCCGCGGCUAGACGGAAAGACCCCAUGAACCUUUACUGUAGGCUGAUAUUGGGUCUAGAUAGCUCUUGUGUAGGAUAGGUGGGACGCGAUGAAGCCCGGACGCCAGUUCGGGUGGAGCGGCCGUUGAAAUACCACCCUGGAUCUAUUUGGAUUCUAACACCGACCCGUGAAUCCGGGCGGUGGAAAGUGUCAGUUGGGCAGUUUGACUGGGGCGGUCUCCUCCUAAAGAGUAACGGAGGAGCUCAAAGGUACCCUCAGCCUGGUUGGCAAUCAGGCGUAGAGCGUAAAGGUAGAAGGGUGCUUGACUGCGAGACU
rnacentral:rRNA from 1 species